GACGAACGCUGGCGGCGUGCCUAACACAUGCAAGUCGAGCGAGUGAAUCUCCUUCGGGAGUGAAGCUAGCGGCGGACGGGUGAGUAACACGUGGGCAACCUGCCUCAUAGAGGGGAAUAGCCUUUCGAAAGGAAGAUUAAUACCGCAUAAGAUUGUAGCUUCGCAUGAAGUAGCAAUUAAAGGAGCAAUCCGCUAUGAGAUGGGCCCGCGGCGCAUUAGCUAGUUGGUGAGGUAACGGCUCACCAAGGCGACGAUGCGUAGCCGACCUGAGAGGGUGAUCGGCCACAUUGGGACUGAGACACGGCCCAGACUCCUACGGGAGGCAGCAGUGGGGAAUAUUGCACAAUGGGGGAAACCCUGAUGCAGCAACGCCGCGUGAGUGAUGACGGCCUUCGGUUGUAAAGCUCUGUCUUCAGGACGAUAAUGACGGUACCUGAGGAGGAAGCCACGGACGUAACUAACGUGGCCACGCAGCCGAC
rnacentral:rRNA from 1 species